UAUUAUUGAAAAUUUACUAGUUUAGUGUAGUUCAUUAGUUAUUUAAACGUAUCAUGGAAAUUUUGGUGUAUUUAUUUAGAGCUUUCAAGUUCAGUCUUGAUGAAAAUGCUUUUCGAUUUUCCUCAUAAUUAAAAAUUGGCAAAUGAGAAAAAGAUCAUAAUCAAUCCAUUUCAAGGAUAUUAAGUUUGCAUUACCUAGAAGAUGCCCGUAUUUUAAGGGGCGAACAAAUUUUUUAUAUUUUUGCCAAAGCAUAAACUCCCAUACUCAAAUCAAUGUUGUAGGAGUUGAUUAAGUUGAAAUCUGUACUUGUAAUCGUCACACGUCACAUCAUGGGAAUUAAUGUUGUCGACUUGAAUACAACUUGUAAUCGAGAUUAAAAAAACAGUGGAUUCUCCGCUUGUAGAGCUAGCUCAUUCCAUUGUUCCUACCAAAAAGUGCGAUGUGUAUAGUUUUGGAGUCAUCGCAUUAGAGACAAUCAUCGGAAAGCAUCCAGGAGACCAUAUCUCUCGAGAAUGUUCAUCGUCCGCCCAAGCUGAGUCAAUGAUGUUGAAGGAUGUGUUGGAUCAACGUCUCUCGCCUUCUAGACUUGGCCUUCGAGAUGCGCAAGACGUGGUCUUGAUUGCCAAGCUAGCGUUCAAGUGCUUGCAAGACGAUCCGAGGCUUCGACCUACCAUGCGACAGGUCUCACGUGAGCUUUGCUUUCAAGUACCCCUGGAUAUGCCACUCUCUGCAGUAAGCUUAGAGCAACUUCGUGAUCUUAACGUCAAAAAAUUUGGAGCAUUUCAGGAGAUGAGGUAGCUUCUCUAUGAACAUCAUAGGAAUAGUGCGAUGCUUAUAGUUUGAAGUCGUGGUACCAGAAAUAAUUAUGGGAAGACUUCUGCGGAGAUCCCAUUUCACAAUUAUUUCCAUCCUUUUACCGAGUGAUCAGGAAGUGAAUUUGCAAAAUGCAGUGGAUUGACAUCUCUUGCCUUCUCUGAUAUGAGAUGUAAAGAACAUGUAGUUUCUGUUGCUGUAAAAGAUAAUAGUACUAGCAAUAUGUGAACUUUUAUUGAUAUGCAGUGUCAUAUUUGAACUUUCGGUUGAUUCAAUUAAAUCAAUUUUGAGUAA